rnacentral:rRNA from 1 species
UACGGAGGGUGCAAACGUUGCUCGGAAUCAUUGGGCGUAAAGCGCACGUAGGCGGAUCGAUCAGUCAGGGGUGAAAUCCCAGAGCUCAACUCUGGAACUGCCUUUGAUACUGUCGAUCUAGAGUAUGGAAGAGGUGAGUGGAAUUCCGAGUGUAGAGGUGAAAUUCGUAGAUAUUCGGAGGAACACCAGUGGCGAAGGCGGCUCACUGGUCCAUUACUGACGCUGAGGUGCGAAAGCGUGGGGAGCAAACAGG